GAUGAACGCUGGCGGCGUGCUUAACACAUGCAAGUCGAGCGAUGAAGUUUCCUUCGGGAAACGGAUUAGCGGCGGACGGGUGAGUAACACGUGGGUAACCUGCCUCAUAGAGUGGAAUAGCCUUCCGAAAGGAAGAUUAAUACCGCAUAAUGUUGAAAGAUGGCAUCAUCAUUCAACCAAAGGAGCAAUCCGCUAUGAGAUGGACCCGCGGCGCAUUAGCUAGUUGGUGGGGUAACGGCCUACCAAGGCGACGAUGCGUAGCCGACCUGAGAGGGUGAUCGGCCGCAUUGGGACUGAGACACGGCCCAG
rnacentral:rRNA from 1 species